UACGUAUGGUGCAAGCGUUAUCCGGAUUUACUGGGCGUAAAGGGAGCGCAGGCGGCGCGCCAAGUCUGAUGUGAAACCCCGGGGCUCAACCCCGGGCAUGCAUUGGAAACUGGCGGGCUGGAGUGCCGGAGAGGUAAGCGGAAUUCCUAGUGUAGCGGUGAAAUGCGUAGGUAUUAGGAGGAACACCAGUGGCGAAGGCGGCUUACUGGACGGCAACUGACGCUGAGGCUCGAAAGCGUGGGGAGCAAACAGG
rnacentral:rRNA from 1 species